GAUGAACGCUGGCGGCGUGCCUAAUACAUGCAAGUCGAGCGAACGGACGAGAAGCUUGCUUCUCUGAUGUUAGCGGCGGACGGGUGAGUAACACGUGGAUAACCUACCUAUAAGACUGGGAUAACUUCUGGAAACCGGAGCUAAUACCGGAUAAUAUUUUGAACCGCAUGGUUCAAAAGUGAAAGACGGUCUUGCUGUCACUUAUAGAUGGAUCCGCGCUGCAUUAGCUAGUUGGUAAGGUAACGGCUUACCAAGGCAACGAUGCAUAGCCGACCUGAGAGGGUGAUCGGCCACACUGGAACUGAGACACGGUCCAGACUCCUACGGGAGGCAGCAGUAGGGAAUCUUCCGCAAUGGGCGAAAGCCUGACGGAGCAACGCCGCGUGAGUGAUGAAGGUCUUCGGAUCGUAAAACUCUGUUAUUAGGGAAGAACAUAUGUGUAAGUAACUGUGCACAUCUUGACGGUACCUAAUCAGAAAGCCACGGCUAACUACGUG
rnacentral:rRNA from 1 species